rnacentral:rRNA from 1 species
CCUACGGGGGGCAGCAGUGAGGAAUAUUGGUCAAUGGGCGAGAGCCUGAACCAGCCAAGUAGCGUGCGGGACGAAUGCCCUAUGGGUUGUAAACCACUUUUGCAGGGGGAUAAAGUGCGCCACGUGUGGAGUAUUGCAAGUAUCCUGCGAAUAAGGACCGGCUAAUUCCGUGCCAGCAGCCGCGGUAAUACGGAAGGUCCAGGCGUUAUCCGGAUUUAUUGGGUUUAAAGGGAGCGUAGGCGGGCUGUUAAGUCAGCGGUCAAAUGUCAGGGCCCAACCUUGGCAUGCCGUUGAUACUGGCGGCCUUGAGUUCACACAAGGAAGGUGGAAUUCGUCGUGUAGCGGUGAAAUGCUUAGAUAUGACGAAGAACUCCGAUUGCGAAGGCAGCCCUGGGGCGUUACUGACGCUGAGGCUCGAAAGUGCGGGGAUCAAACAGGAUUAGAUACCCGAGUAGUC